GACGAACGCUGGCGGCGUGCUUAACACAUGCAAGUCGAACGGAAAGGCCCUGCUUUUGUGGUGUGCUCGAGUGGCGAACGGGUGAGUAACACGUGAGUAACCUGCCCUUGACUUUGGGAUAACUUCAGGAAACUGGGGCUAAUACCGGAUAGGAGCUCCUGCUGCAUGGUGGGGGUUGGAAAGUUUCGGCGGUUGUGGAUGUACUCGCAGAUUAUCAGCUUCUUUGUGGGGUAGUGGCUUACCAAGGCUUUGACGGGUAGCCGGCCUGAGAGGGUGACCGGCCACAAUGGGACUGCGGUACGGACCAGACUCGUACGGGAGGCAGCAGUGGGGAAUAUUGCACAAUGGGCGGAAGCCUGAUACAGCAACGCCGCGUGCGGGAUGACGGCCUUCGGGUUGUAAACCGCUUUCGCCUGUGACGAAGCGUGAGUGACGGUAAUGGGUAAAGAAGCAACGGCUAACUACGUG
rnacentral:rRNA from 1 species